UACGUAGGGCGCAAGCGUUGUCCGGAAUUAUUGGGCGUAAAGAGCUCGUAGGCGGUCUGUCGCGUCGGCUGUGAAAACCCGAGGCUCAACCUCGGGCCUGCAGUCGAUACGGGCAGACUAGAGUGCUGUAGGGGAGACUGGAAUUCCUGGUGUAGCGGUGAAAUGCGCAGAUAUCAGGAGGAACACCGGUGGCGAAGGCGGGUCUCUGGGCAGUAACUGACGCUGAGGAGCGAAAGCGUGGGGAGCGAACAGG
rnacentral:rRNA from 1 species